GGUUGCGUAUUCUUGGUGCAACUGAACCACUGUGAUCAGUCGAGAACAAUUAACAUCAAUACCACGCCUGUACAUCUACAACGGUGGAAGACCUAUAGACUUAAUAUUUAUAGGUAGGUUUAGGUUUAGGUCUCAUCUAAUCAGUUAUCAUGUGAUCAAUCUAAUUGGUAUGGGCUAAAUCAAAUCACCAAACAACCUUAUUCAAGAUUUAAUCUUCCAAAUUGGUCAGAUAAGUGGAGAUCGGUGGGGUUCCCCCAUUGCUUUUCUUAGACACCAAUAAUUUGGUCAGAUAAGCGAAUGGAACCAAUUAAAUAACCAUCUAUCAAUUACUUGCCUUAGACAUCAAUAGGUCAAUUAGUCCAAAUAGGUUAGUUUAAGUGAAUCGGGCUCAAGCCAUCGAGCCGAAUUAGGUCCUUAAGUUACUUGAUUCUACAUAUGGGAUUUAAUCAAUUUGAUUAACAACAAUUGCAUAAUCUUAAACUUAAUUGACCUAAUCUUAAUCAAUACUUGAUUCGGUUUGAUCAAUUACUUAAUCUAAUUAGAUCUAAUGUGUUCAAAUGAAAAAUCCU
rnacentral:lncRNA from 1 species